rnacentral:rRNA from 1 species
UUCCGGUUGAUCCUGCCGGACCUGACUGCUAUCGGAUUGAUACUAAGCCAUGCGAGUCAUUGUAGCAAUACAAGGCAGACGGCUCAGUAACGCGUAGUCAACCUACCCUAUGGACGGGAAUAACCUCGGGAAACUGAGUAUAAUGCCCGAUAGAACAUUAUACCUGGAAUGGUUUAUGUUCCAAAUGAUUUAUCGCCGUAGGAUGGGACUGCGGCCUAUCAGUUUGUUGGUGAGGUAAUGGCCCACCAAGACUAUUACAGGUACGGGCUCUGAGAGGAGUGGCCCGGAGAUGGGUACUGAAACACGGACCCAGGCCCUAUGGGGCGCAGCAGGCGAGAAAACUUUGCAAUGUGCGAAAGCACGGCAAGGUUAAUCCGAGUGGUUUCUGCUAAAGGAACCUUUUGUUAGUCCUAAAAACACUAACGAAUAAGGGGUGGGCAAGUUCUGGUGUCAGCCGCCGCGGUAAAACCAGCACCUCAAGUGGUCAGGAUGAUUAUUGGGCCUAAAGCAUCCGUAGCCGGCUCUGUAAGUCUUCGGUUAAAUCUGUACGCUCAACGUACAGGCUGCCGGGAAUACUGCAGAGCUAGGGAGUGGGAGAGGUAGACGGUACUCGGGAGGAAGUGGUAAAAUGCUUUGAUCUAUUGAUGACCACCUGUGGCGAAGGCGGUCUACCAGAACACGUUCGACGGUGAGGGAUGAAAGCUGGGGGAGCAAACCGGAUUAGAUACCCGGGUAGUCCCAGCUGUAAACGAUGCAGACUCGGUGAUGCGCUGGCUUGUGGCCAGUGCAGUGCCGCAGGGAAGCCGUUAAGUUUGCCGCCUGGGAAGUACGUACGCAAGUAUGAAACUUAAAGGAAUUGGCGGGGGAGCAC